GGGAAAGAGGUUCAGUUUGGCUCAGUUCGGUGCAAAAGAUUCCCUGUGGGGUUAAAGGAGUAAUCCCUGACGGGUGCACGACAGUGCGUUUCUGUCAGGUGUCGCCGGGCCCUGCUCUUACACUGUCGCAUGAGCAAAUCUGCUGUGUGGUAUUUGAAACGUAUCUUUGGAAGGCAAAAACCUAGCUAAGCCAAAGCGUUAGAAGGAAAGAUCAAAAUAAAUCAUUUAUUUCUGUGCAGUGCAUGUGACCUGAAUGAUCAGAUGUACCGUGGACAUUCAGGCUGUGACGAGGAGAAAGAAGAAAUACUAUCAGUUUGACCAUGAGAAUGAUGCAGGAGUGGACACACUUCUCUCCUACCUCUCCCUGGUCGAAAGAACGCGUAGAGCUUCUGAAAGAGGAUUGAUCUGCAAAUCAUUACUUAAAAAAAUAAUUCAUUUAAGAAAAUAA
rnacentral:lncRNA from 1 species